rnacentral:sRNA from 1 species
AACAGCCUCUGGUCGAUGGAA